rnacentral:lncRNA from 1 species
GGAAACGUUAUUGGACGAAUGUUUCCUACGGCAGCUCGAUGGGGAAACGUGAUUGGGCGAGUGUUUCUUAUGGCACCUCGAUGAGGAAACGUGAUUGGGCGAGUGUUUCUCACGGCACCUCGAUGGGGAAACAUGAUUGGGCGAGUGUUUCUUACGGCAGCUCGAUGGGGAAACGUGAUUGGGUGAGUGUUUCUUAUGGCAGCUCGAUGGGGAAACGUGAUUGGGCGAGUGUUUCUUAUGGCACCUCAAUGGGGAAACGUGAUUGGGCGAGUGUUUCUUACGGCACCUUGAUGGGGAAACAUGAUUGGG